rnacentral:lncRNA from 1 species
UCUCUUCUACUUCCUACCAUGGCCGAAUGCAUCAAGACACCAUACCAUUUCAAUUUUGGUCAUGGGUUAAACAAAGAACUUAAUGUCUAACUAAAAAAUGCUAAAAAAGAAAUCCAAGAGUCAUCAAUCCACCAUCACAUGUAUCAUUACAAAGCUUCACAUUUAGCAUGCAAAUGACAUCAACACAAAUCUACCUUAGCCGAAACUUAACUCAUCUUCAUGCCUCAUCA